CUUUGGUUGCUUCUCAGAAAUAUUCAGCUUUCAGAUGUGGCCGACAAAAUUUCUUGGAAGUGGACUCCUGACUUGAAGUACUCGGCUAGCUCGGCUUAUCUGCAGCAGUUCACUGGUUCUUUUGCAGCCACCAAUGUCUAG
rnacentral:rRNA from 1 species